rnacentral:rRNA from 1 species
UGUACCUACGGGACGCAGCAGUAGGGAAUCUUCCACAAUGGGCGAAAGCCUGAUGGAGCAACGCCGCGUGGGUGAAGAAGGUCUUCGGAUCGUAAAACCCUGUUGUUAGAGAAGAAAGUGCGUGAGAGUAACUGUUCACGUUUCGACGGUAUCUAACCAGAAAGCCACGGCUAACUACGUGCCAGCAGCCGCGGUAAUACGUAGGUGGCAAGCGUUAUCCGGAUUUAUUGGGCGUAAAGGGAACGUAGGCGGUCUUUUAAGUCUGAUGUGAAAGCUUUAGGAUUAACCGGAGUAGUGCAUUGGAA